UGCGUAGGCGGGCUAAUAAGUCAGUGGUGAAAUCUUCCGGCUCAACCGGGAACCUGCCAUUGAUACUGUUGGUCUUGAGUUCGGCUGAGGUAGGCGGAAUGUGUAAUGUAGCGGUGAAAUGCUUAGAUAUUACACAGAACACCAAUUGCGUAGGCAGCUUACUAGACCGACACUGACGCUGAGGCACGAAAGCGUGGGGAGCGAACAGGAUUAGAUACCCUGGUAGUCC
rnacentral:rRNA from 1 species